UUUUUUUUUUUUUUUUUUUUUUUUUUUUUUAUUCAACAACAACUAAUUGCACUUUUUGCUGUUAACAAUGUACUUCACACUAGUCCAGCAUUCCAGUAAAGAGUCCCUGUUUGUUAAUACCAGAAAUCCAGGGUUGUUUCUGGUAAGCAUCAUUAUAUUAAAUUAACAUUAGUUUUAAUUUAACAGCUAAUUUAUAAAAUUAUCAGCAAUGAAAUUAACAAGUAUAUAUCAAUGGUACUUAUUUGUUUUACAAUUUACUAUAUAUAUCAUCUAGCAAUAAUUUAUUUUUGGGUACUGUUUCCGGAAAUUUUUCAUAUUUCCUCCGUAAACGGGUGAAUUGUUUUUCUAUCAAACAUCUUCCUGGUUUUGAAACAAAUAUUGUCACACCGGCCAUGACUUAAAAAAUAAAAAAAUAAACAGAUGUGAUAUAGCAUAUUCACAGAUAUGGUACAUACUCUGCUUUAUUUUACUGGAAUUCGAGGCCGUUACAGUAUUGUUUAAGUUGCAAAUCCUUAUAUGCAACCAUCAGAUUUAUUCAGUUGGCAAAACAUUGAUUAUUCUGUUAAGGGCAUACAGUAGCAACAAUGUCAAGUCAGAAGUUCAUCUACUGUAAGAAAGGAUGUCGAUGGGCAUUUUAAAUGCUUGAAAGCAGCAUUGAAAUGCACAGGAUUUCGUAAAUGGACAGUAGACAGUGAAGAGAGACACUUCUACCGUUAGUGACCACCGUCAUCAUGUUGACUAUUCACUAAUUGAGACAGUGCUAAAUUUUAGUAUCUGGCAUUUGGAUCUUAUUUUAAUUAUCAAUAACUUGAAUAUGUUCUAUAAAAUUGUUAUGCCAAGUAGUUACUUUUGAAGCAUCAUUUCAUUUAUGAUCCCAUUUUGAAAAAUGAAAUACUGGUCUUGUAUCUUUCUAGGGUUUCAUACAUAUUUGUAAUUGCUAGUAAAUCAUGUAAAUAGAAAAAUAUUUUCUAUAACUUUAAAUUUAGACCUUGUCAGAGACGCCAUAUAGAAUGGUGUGUAUCGGUCAUUAUCAUUUCAUAGUUUAUGCCACCUUUUUCAAAGAAUAAUAUGUUAUUUGCAUUUGUAUCCAAAUAUUUAUUGUUUUAGGGGUCAAAUUCUGUCAUUUUGACCAUGCCAUCUUUGAUUGCCGCCAUUUUUAAAAUAUUGUCUAUGUCCCCGGGUAAAAUAAAAAAUUUUUAGGCCAUUGUUUACAUCGCAAAAUGAGUUUCACAAAUUUGUUAACUUUCUAUACCACAUUGAUAGUGCGUACAUAUAUCAAUACAGAAUAUGACAUUUUACUGUACCAUUUUGAAUUUGGACGCCAUUUUGAUUAUUUAUGUAUUUAUAAAGUUGUGAAAAACAGUACUUGGCAUAUCUGAAAUCAAUUUUCUUAUUUGUAAUAUGUACUGAGCUAUUGCAUAUUGGCAGAAGUUUAUGAUGUUGUAUUCCCAUUUCCUUACGUCGGCCAUCUUUAAUUUGGCAGCCAUUUUGGAUUUUUUUUCCGUUGCUCCAUAUACACAUUUUGUUUAUGCUCCUUAAUCUUUCACUACUCCAAGCUUCAUGCUUUUACCAUAAAGUGCUCAAUUAUUCUUAGAUCCGCUGGACUAAGUCUGAAUUACGUUCACGUGCAAGCCAUUUUGAUAGAGUGAACAUUUCUAUAGUACAGAUAUAUUAUUCAUGUUAUGUAAUUGUAUGAAAAUUAUAAUUUCAAAAUCAAGACUGAUUAUGAGGUGGUGUGUCUUUAUAUUAUUUUUUAUUUGCUUGUUUCAAAAACCCUGUUUUUACAAAGUGAAAGAUGCAGGGUUUGCAAAUAAAGUCGGAUCAAUUACAAAUUACAUGGAAUAGUGAUUUUAAAAUAGUGAUAGAAAAAUUUAUUUUGUAUAUCAAUCCUGUUUUUUCGUUUGAUAUGUUUUACAUUUUUUGUUUUGGAGUAUUUUAUAUUUGACUGUAUGAUAUGAGUUUUGCUCAUUUUUGAAGGCCGCACGUUAAAAUAUAGUUGCUAAUUUCUUUGUUAUUUGGUCUCUUGUUCUAUCAGCAAUCAUACCAUAUCUUAUAUUUAUAUGAAAUAUUUUGUAUACAGAAUGUUCACUAUCAUGCCAUAAAUGGUAUUAGACUUCAUCGUGUCUAAUUAUAAAAAGAGUAAUAAAAAAGUAAACAAUCACAAGAAGAUGA